UACGAAGGGGGCUAGCGUUGCUCGGAAUCACUGGGCGUAAAGCGCACGUAGGCGGAUUGCUAAGUCAGGGGUGAAAUCCUGGGAGCUCAACUCCAGAACUGCCUUUGAUACUGGCGAUCUCGAGUCCGGGAGAGGUGAGUGGAACUGCGAGUGUAGAGGUGAAAUUCGUAGAUAUUCGCAAGAACACCAGUGGCGAAGGCGGCUCACUGGCCCGGUACUGACGCUGAGGUGCGAAAGCCAGGGGAGCAAAGCGGG
rnacentral:rRNA from 1 species